UACGAAGGGGGCUAGCGUUGUUCGGAAUUACUGGGCGUAAAGGGCGCGUAGGCGGCCUUGAUAGUUGGGCGUGAAAGGCCUGGGCUUAACCCGGGAACUGCGUUCAAUACUGCGAGGCUAGAGUGUGGGAGAGGUUGGUGGAAUUCCCAGUGUAGAGGUGAAAUUCGUAGAUAUUGGGAAGAACACCGGUGGCGAAGGCGGCCAACUGGACCACAACUGACGCUGAGGCGCGAAAGCGUGGGGAGCAAACAGG
rnacentral:rRNA from 1 species